AGGGACCUCAAGUAUCUACAGACACACCUCAGCAGGACGUUGCUCAGUGUUUGUCAGCACCUCCCAGCCUGCAGCCUUUCUUCAAGGACCAGGAGACUGCUCCCUCACCAUCACCUCAAACUGAGUUGUGUCCGAGUCUUGAUGUCUUGUUUAGUCCUCUAUCUCCAGCUUCCAUUAAGACAGCUGCUUCAUCGCCUGAUAACAAAGAUACAGAGCAUGAAGAUGAUUUUAUUGACAUCAUUUUGCAGACAGGAG